CAUUAAGUGACUGAAAGUAAGUAUUGGUCUCUUAAACCAAAAUAUGAUAAUUAACAAUUAUCCUUAAUGA
rnacentral:tRNA from 1 species